UGCGCACAUUUCUUUCGUAGCUCAUGCUUCGCCGGAAGGAAUCGACGGUGACCCAUGUACACAACUUUACGACAAUGUUUCAAAUACAUGCUUUCGGUUUCCUCUAAACAGUGAGUGCAUGCUUUAUAUCCUUUGUUUGAUUGUCCUGAUAGGUUACUUAGUGCAGGCCAGUCGUUGAUGCUUAUGAAAAGCAGUGCUCGAAGGUCAAACUGCUCCUGCUUGUCCUCAUCCCACAUGCUAACACCUUCAUUCUUCCACAGCUGCAAAAGUUCGUCAACCAAUGG
rnacentral:misc_RNA from 1 species